GACGAACGCUGGCGGCGUGCUUAACACAUGCAAGUCGAGCGAGAAACCCUCUUCGGAGGGGAGUACGGCGGCGAACGGGUGAGUAACACGUGGGCAACCUGCCCCAAGGAGCGGGACAACCCGGGGAAACCCGGGCUAAUACCGCAUGAUCCGCGAUGUCUCAAGGCAUCUCGGGAAAUGGUAGCUUCGGCCUCCGCCUUGGGAUGGGCCCGCGGCGCAUUAGCUUGUUGGUGAGGUAAUGGCUCACCAAGGCGACGAUGCGUAGCUGGUCUGAGGGAGCGAGCAGACACACUGGGACUGAGACACGGCCCAGACUCCUACGGGAGGCAGCAGUGGGGAAUCUGGCGCAAUGGGCGGAAGCCUGACGCAGCAACGCCGCGUGAGGGAAGAAGGCCUUCGGGUUGUAAACCUCUUUCAGGGGGGACGAAGCCACCGGGGUUAAUAGCCCGCGGGGUGACGGUACCCCCAGAAGAAGCCCCGGCUAACUACGUGCCAGCAGCCGCCGUAACAC
rnacentral:rRNA from 1 species